CCUGGAAGUAUAAAGGGGAGGGGGCUUCAGAGCUCACUAGAGGACCAGUCGUCGGGGAGGCCAGAUGUAGCCGGGAAAACCCCACGGCCCCAGGUCCACGCCAGGACUGGCCGGCCCCGGCCCGCGCCCGCUCUCCGGGGGGAGCGGCCGGCCCUGCCGCUUGUCCACUGCCCCAAGGAACCCCUGGUGCUGGACCCCCCAGAGAGCACCGCCGGGACCCAGGGUGAAUCAGGAGUAGUUCCACUGGAAUCAGGUGUACACAAGUGGAGAACCAUGAGCCAGCCCCUCAGCUGGUGUGUGAAUCAACAUAACGCCACUGAUGUCAACAGAGCCUGGCUAAUUUUCAUCAGCUGAUGUCUUCAUCGACUCGUUCCCUGUGGUUUAAGCUGUCUGGGGCCCAAUUCAGGCAAAGAAACAUCUGCAUCUCGACCCAGUGGAAGGUCCCUAUAAAUCAAUGUGCGUGGAGGUGAAACCGGGCAGCACUUAAUGUUUGUUUGCAGACACGAGUCCUUCAUUUGCAAACACCUCAUCAGCUGGAAUCCGCCGGAUAAAAUAUAGGCCUCUGGCUUGGAGCUGAUUGGAAACAUUCUCUCCCCACGCCAGCCCCCCGUAGAAGACAUGGAAAACGGCAAACCUAAGAGCAUGCAUAGCUACAAAAUUACCGCCAUCCAUCAUGUCCAAUCGGCUCCGGGAGAAAUCCCAACUGGAUGAGGAAUUCUGCAGCAUAACAAUGGGCGAUUAGAUCUUUCUCAAAGCCAUGCUGUCAUGAGGGCCCUCCUGUCCCUUCAGGGCUGCCAUGUGAUACUUUCAUUCCGCUUUGCAGAAAGCUAGAGGGGCCAAAAGGAUCCAAGUGACACGACAGAGCAUAACACGCAAGUCAUAAAGGGACCUCUUGUAUGUAUAAAUGUGUGAUGCAGCCCUUGUGCAGCUGGCAACAGCCACAGCCACCGAGCUGUAUCUACAGGCACAAACAAGCCAACCAGGCCUUCCUAUUUAACUUCAAUUACUUUAAUUGGGAUCAGAACAACUUGAAGGAAAGUAACGGCAAAUAUGAAUCAAGUUAGCAUGGUGUGAGGGUCCCUUAUUUGCAAACUACAGUGAGUCCUAGUUCAUCUUUGGGUUCCCGCUUCCAGCCCAUCUGCAACAGACAAGAAUUGUAAACUACACCCUAUGGAAUUUUCCAAAGCCUAAAGGUCCAGUAUGCACACUCAGUCCCUACAGCUCUUAAAGGGCUAAGUACUACAUUAUAUACCUCUCACGCACCAUCCUAGGGAGCCAGGCAGGGCCAGAUUUAGAGGCAGGCAACCCAGGCGACCGCAUCUCAGUUAUUCUUAAAAUUAAGAAGUUUCUAUAAGCUUAGAGGAAAUUAUUUUUUUAAAAUUUGAUUUGCUUAUAUAUGGCAUGAAUAAAUACAGAUUUGCAGAUCCUAGCGUGCACAUUUAUCAUCUUAUAUGACAGGCAUAAAUCAUGCAUGCAAAUAAUGCAUCAAAGUUGUGAAAUGGGCUACAAAUGCAAUAAAAAAUAAGGUAUUCAAAAGUUUAAUAAAUGGAGGGUGGGGUACCGAAGAUGUUCCUCACCUUGGGCACCAUUUGGUCUAGGGCCAGCCCUGGAGCAAGAUCCAGACUAACUGAGCUAAAGAAGCUGCUAGCAGCUGUUUAACAGUCUUUUAACAGGGAAAUCUUUUUUAAAAUUGUGCUCCGAACCUGGAAAAAAAACCCAGAAUCCAUUAAAUCCUCCACAGAUGGCCUCUACUGAGCCUGGCUGCAGCAAGAAAGAAACACAACCCCUGUAAAACACACCUCCAGGCAGCAUCCACCACAUUCUUCCCCACCCAUGAAGUCUCUGCACUCAACAUCCCCCCACACCAUAUUAUUUCAAAUAUUUACAUUAGGGGACACACCAUACUGGCAGAGCAUUAAGGGAAUACUAUAUAGUUCACUAACCUACAGCCCCCGCACGAGAGAUCAUAGACUCAUAGGGUUAAGCAGGGACCACAAGGUUCAUCUAGUCCAGUGGUUCUCAACUUUUCCAGACUACUGCACCUCUUUCAGGAGUCUGAUUUGUCUCGCAUACCCCCAAGUUUCACCUCACUUAAAAACUACUUGCUUACAAAAUCAGACAUAAAAAUACAACAGUGUCACAGACACGCGGUUACUAAAAAAUUGCCGACUUUCUCAUUUGUACCAUUUCUUUAUAAAAGAAAUCAAUUGGAAUAUAAAUAUUGUACUUACA